UACGGGGGGGGGCAAGCGUUGUUCGGAAUUACUGGGCGUAAAGGGCGCGUAGGCGGCCUACUAAGUCGGACGUGAAAUCCCUCGGCUCAACCGAGGAACUGCGUCCGAUACUGGCAGGCUGGAAUCCGGGAGAGGGAUGUGGAAUUCCAGGUGUAGCGGUGAAAUGCGUUGAUAUCAUCAGGAACACCAGUGGCGAAAGCGGCUUACUGGGUCUCUACUGACGCUGAGGUACGAAAGCUAGGGGAGCGAAGGGG
rnacentral:rRNA from 1 species